rnacentral:rRNA from 1 species
UACAGAGGUCUCAAGCGUUAAUCGGAAUUACUGGGCGUAAAGCGAGCGUAGUCGGUUAUUUAAGUCGGAUGUGAAAUCCCCGGGCUCAACCUGGGAAUUGCAUUCGAUACUGGAUAGCUAGAGUUCGGCAGAGGGAAGCGGAAUUUCGGGUGUAGCGGUGAAAUGCGUAGAUAUCCGAAGGAACAUCAGUGGCGAAAGCGGCUUCCUGGACCAGAACUGACGAUCAGGCUCGAAAGCGUGGGGAGCAAACAGG